rnacentral:rRNA from 1 species
GGGUCGUAAACUUCUUUUAUAUAAGAAUAAAGUGCAGUAUGUAUACUGUUUUGUAUGUAUUAUAUGAAUAAGGAUCGGCUAACUCCGUGCCAGCAGCCGCGGUAAUACGGAGGAUCCGAGCGUUAUCCGGAUUUAUUGGGUUUAAAGGGAGCGUAGGUGGACUGGUAAGUCAGUUGUGAAAGUUUGCGGCUCAACCGUAAAAUUGCAGUUGAUACUGUCAGUCUUGAGUACAGUGGAGGUGGGCGGAAUUCGUGGUGUAGCGGUGAAAUGCUUAGAUAUCACGAAGAACUCCGAUUGCGAAGGCAGCUCACUGGACUGCAACUGACACUGAUGCUCGAAAGUGUGGGUAUCAAACAGGAUUAGAUACCCUGGUAGUCCACACAGUAAACGAUGAAUACUCGCUGUUUGCGAUAUACAGUAAGCGGCCAAGCGAAAGCAUUAAGUAUUCCACCUGGGGAGUA